rnacentral:rRNA from 1 species
GGUUAAGCGACUAAGCGUACACGGUGGAUGCCCUGGCAGUCAGAGGCGAUGAAGGGCGUGCUAAUCUGCGAUAAGCGCCGGUAAGGUGAUAUGAACCGUUAUAACCGGCGAUACCCGAAUGGGGAAACCCAGUGUGAUUCGUCACACUAUCAUUAACUGAAUCCAUAGGUUAAUGAGGCGAACCGGGGGAACUGAAACAUCUAAGUACCCCGAGGAAAAGAAAUCAACCGAGAUUCCCCCAGUAGCGGCGAGCGAACGGGGAGGAGCCCAGAGCCUGAAUCAGCAUGUGUGUUAGUGGAAGCGUCUGGAAAGGCGCGCGAUACAGGGUGACAGCCCCGUACACAAAAGCGCAUGUGCUGUGAGCUCGAUGAGUAGGGCGGGACACGUGGUAUCCUGUCUGAAUAUGGGGGGACCAUCCUCCAAGGCUAAAUACUCCUGACUGACCGAUAGUGAACCAGUACCGUGAGGGAAAGGCGAAAAGAACCCCGGCGAGGGGAGUGAAAAAGAACCUGAAACCGUGUACGUACAAGCAGUGGGAGCACAGGUUUACCUGUGUGACUGCGUACCUUUUGUAUAAUGGGUCAGCGACUUAUAUUCUGUAGCAAGGUUAACCGUAUAGGGGAGCCGGAGGGAAACCGAGUCUUAACCGGGCGUUAAGUUGCAGGGUAUAGACCCGAAACCCGGUGAUCUAGCCAUGGGCAGGUUGAAGGUUGGGUAACACUAACUGGAGGACCGAACCGACUAAUGUUGAAAAAUUAGCGGAUGACCUGUGGCUGGGGGUGAAAGGCCAAUCAAACCGGGAGAUAGCUGGUUCUCCCCGAAAGCUAUUUAGGUAGCGCCUCGUGAAUUCAUCUCCGGGGGUAGAGCACUGUUUCGGCUAGGGGGCCAUCCCGGCUUACCAACCCGAUGCAAACUGCGAAUACCGGAGAAUGUUAUCACGGGAGACACACGGCGGGUGCUAACGUCCGUCGUGAAGAGGGAAACAACCCAGACCGCCAGCUAAGGUCCCAAAGUCAUGGUUAAGUGGGAAACGAUGUGGGAAGGCCCAGACAGCCAGGAUGUUGGCUUAGAAGCAGCCAUCAUUUAAAGAAAGCGUAAUAGCUCACUGGUCGAGUCGGCCUGCGCGGAAGAUGUAACGGGGCUAAACCAUGCACCGAAGCUGCGGCAGCGACGCUGAUGCGUUGUUGGGUAGGGGAGCGUUCUGUAAGCCUGUGAAGGUGUGUCGUGAGGCAUGCUGGAGGUAUCAGAAGUGCGAAUGCUGACAUAAGUAACGAUAAAGCGGGUGAAAAGCCCGCUCGCCGGAAGACCAAGGGUUCCUGUCCAACGUUAAUCGGGGCAGGGUGAGUCGACCCCUAAGGCGAGGCCGAAAGGCGUAGUCGAUGGGAAACGGGUUAAUAUUCCCGUACUUGGUGUUACUGCGAAGGGGGGACGGAGAAGGCUAUGUUGGCCGGGCGACGGUUGUCCCGGUUUAAGCGUGUAGGUGUGUGUUCCAGGUAAAUCCGGUUCACUUUAACACUGAGGCGUGAUGACGAGGCACUACGGUGCUGAAGCAACAAAUGCCCUGCUUCCAGGAAAAGCCUCUAAGCAUCAGGUAACAUCAAAUCGUACCCCAAACCGACACAGGUGGUCAGGUAGAGAAUACCAAGGCGCUUGAGAGAACUCGGGUGAAGGAACUAGGCAAAAUGGUGCCGUAACUUCGGGAGAAGGCACGCUGACACGUAGGUGAAGUGAUUUACUCACGGAGCUGAAGUCAGUCGAAGAUACCAGCUGGCUGCAACUGUUUAUUAAAAACACAGCACUGUGCAAACACGAAAGUGGACGUAUACGGUGUGACGCCUGCCCGGUGCCGGAAGGUUAAUUGAUGGGGUCAGCGCAAGCGAAGCUCCUGAUCGAAGCCCCGGUAAACGGCGGCCGUAACUAUAACGGUCCUAAGGUAGCGAAAUUCCUUGUCGGGUAAGUUCCGACCUGCACGAAUGGCGUAAUGAUGGCCAGGCUGUCUCCACCCGAGACUCAGUGAAAUUGAACUCGCUGUGAAGAUGCAGUGUACCCGCGGCAAGACGGAAAGACCCCGUGAACCUUUACUAUAGCUUGACACUGAACAUUGAGCCUUGAUGUGUAGGAUAGGUGGGAGGCUUUGAAGUGUGGACGCCAGUCUGCAUGGAGCCGACCUUGAAAUACCACCCUUUAAUGUUUGAUGUUCUAACGUGGACCCGUAAUCCGGGUUGCGGACAGUGUCUGGUGGGUAGUUUGACUGGGGCGGUCUCCUCCUAAAGAGUAACGGAGGAGCACGAAGGUUGGCUAAUCCUGGUCGGACAUCAGGAGGUUAGUGCAAUGGCAUAAGCCAGCUUGACUGCGAGCGUGACGGCGCGAGCAGGUGCGAAAGCAGGUCAUAGUGAUCCGGUGGUUCUGAAUGGAAGGGCCAUCGCUCAACGGAUAAAAGGUACUCCGGGGAUAACAGGCUGAUACCGCCCAAGAGUUCAUAUCGACGGCGGUGUUUGGCACCUCGAUGUCGGCUCAUCACAUCCUGGGGCUGAAGUAGGUCCCAAGGGUAUGGCUGUUCGCCAUUUAAAGUGGUACGCGAGCUGGGUUUAGAACGUCGUGAGACAGUUCGGUCCCUAUCUGCCGUGGGCGCUGGAGAACUGAGGGGGGCUGCUCCUAGUACGAGAGGACCGGAGUGGACGCAUCACUGGUGUUCGGGUUGUCAUGCCAAUGGCACUGCCCGGUAGCUAAAUGCGGAAGAGAUAAGUGCUGAAAGCAUCUAAGCACGAAACUUGCCCCGAGAUGAGUUCUCCCUGAGACUUUAAGUCUCCUGAAGGAACGUUGAAGACGACGACGUUGAUAGGCCGGGUGUGUAAGCGCAGCGAUGCGUUGAGCUAACCGGUACUAAUGAACCGUGAGGCUUAACCUU